UACGGAGGGUGCGAGCGUUGUCCGGAAUCACUGGGCGUAAAGGGCGCGUAGGUGGCGCGAGGAGUCUGUGGUGAAAGCCCGAGGCUCAACUUCGGGUCGGCCGCGGAUACUUUCGUGCUGGAGGGUGGUAGAGGCCAAUGGAAUUCCGGGUGUAGCGGUGGAAUGCGUAGAGAUCCGGAAGAACACCGGUGGCGAAGGCGGUUGGCUGGGUCACACCUGACACUGAGGCGCGACAGCGUGGGGAGCAAACAGG
rnacentral:rRNA from 1 species